rnacentral:sRNA from 1 species
GUCCCGGCACAAUCCGGGGCCGGGUUUGGCGACCCGACUUACUCGAGGCGCAACGCGCCAACUCGGCGCUUUUUU